rnacentral:tRNA from 1 species
GCUCCAUUGGCGCAGUUGGUUAGCGCGUGGUACUUAUAAGAAGUAUAUAAGUAUAUAAGAAAUGGCAAGGUCGGGAGUUCGAUCCUCCCAUGGAGCA